rnacentral:precursor_RNA from 12 species
CACAGCCCAUGAGGCCAAAUGCUUUGCUAAAGCUGGUAAAAUGGAACCAAAUCAACUGUUCAAUGGAUUUGGUCCCCUUCAACCAGCUGUAGCUGUGCAUUGAUCUCUCAGACGCACCUU